rnacentral:tRNA from 1 species
GCAGUGGUGGCUCAGUGGUAGCAUUUUCGCCUUCCCUGCAGGAAACCCAGGUUCAAUUCCUGGCCGAUGCA